rnacentral:rRNA from 1 species
ACGGUGAGUAACGCGUGAGUAACCUGCCUUACACAGGGGGAUAGCCGUUGGAAACGACGAAUAAUACCCUAUGAUGUUUCUAUCUCGCAUGAGAUAUUAACCAAAGUGUUAGCGGUGUAAGAUGGACUUGCGUCUGAUUAGCUAGUUGGUGAGAAAAAAGCCCACCAAGGCAACGAUCAGUAGCCGGCUUGAGAGAGUGUACGGCCACAUUGGGACUGAGACACGGCCCAG